CCAGCCAGCUUGAGGGGUCUUAUUCGAUUGCUGAUGUUUUCAUUUUUUCGUGAAGUUUGGUCGUGAAACGGUGUUGCGGGUGCAGCGUAGCGGAUUUUCGGAAAAUUUAAUAAUUUAAUCGGCAAAUCGGGCAAUCGGCAUUAAAUAAAACCAACUACUGCACUACCGGUGGUGUGGUGUGAGGUGAUGGUAUUAAGCGGUGCGUGCGGUUUUAUGCUGGCAUUUACAAAUAUAACUAAUGUUUUUCAAGAAUGAAAAGUUCAUGUGCAAAAUAACUAAAAACCGCAUAACAUUCUGCCAAUUGAUUGGUGAAGAUACAUUUAUAAAAUAAAAUAAGUGCAAAUCUUGAGCUUGGUUUUUGUGAGUGAGUGAGUGUUUGUAAGAUAAAGGAAAAACACAAGAAAAAAUAAAAAAAAUUUGUUGGAGUUUUUGGUGAUAGUGCGGCUUUGUGUUCCACAAAUCAGACAAAGAAUAAUGUUCUGUCAGCUUCAAACAAUAACUUUGUUGUAAUUAAUACAACAAGCAAAGUGUUUACUUUAUAAAGCAAUUAAAAACAACAACAAUCACUAUAUUUCCAUAAAUAAUGAUGAAUUAUCAAAAAAAAAAUAAUAUAAAAUAUUCAAAUGAGCAAAUAAAAGUUAUUGCUCCCGAAUUAUAACAUAGAUAGUGCGUGCGUGAGUGUAUGUGUGUGUGUAAGUGUGCUGUGAGAUAUUAAUAAAAAAAGCUUGUGUAAAAGAAAAUAAAAUAAUAAAAUAACAACAAAAAAGAAUAAAUACAUGCACUAAUAAAUAAAAAAAAACGCUGAUCAAGCCGAUCGUGAUGGAGUUAUAAACAUAAACGACAUUGGAUGACCUUAUAUCAAUUCAUAAAGUUUUCAAAAGCAUGCCAUUUUAGAAUUUUGUGCAGUGCAAAAUAGUUUUUGAAAGCA
rnacentral:sRNA from 1 species